UAUUUCGUGUAGAAGAGAAGAGUAAUCAUAACGUGAACAUUAGCAGAGACUCCGGUUGGUGAAAAAGGAGAAUGGAAAGUUAAGGUGAAGAUGAGCUCGGAGCAUUUAAGCUGUUCACGCAGCUUAAACGGUCGCAACCGUUAUUUUGCCGCGUAUCUAUUUAGCUAAGUCUAAGUACGUACGGUUGAGGUAUUAGAGAACUAAUACGAAUAAGGGUGGUACCGCGAAAGCAUUCGUCCCUUGG
rnacentral:ncRNA from 1 species